UCUGCGGGGAGGAUGAAGCAAAACGAGAGGAAUCAGUGUAUUGAACCCACGGUACAUUUUAUUCAGUUAGCCUCGGCUCGCUGGAGAGUCUUUUAGCUCUUUGUUUUGGUUGUACAGCCAUUAACUUUACUGUUUCAGAUCACUCUCAGUAUCAAUCUGCACAUUAGACAAAGUAUGGGACUAACUAGUGAAGAACGUGAAACACUGAGCAGCUCCAGAGCCACAUAUUAUUUCCUCCAGAGGCCAAAGAGCUCGAAUUAAGAGUGAUUAUUGGACUUGCAUUCACCAAGAGGACAAAGACAGGGCUGCUGAGUGUGCAAUAACAACUUUAUAAGGUGAAAAUUUGCAGUGCUGACUCCCAAGUGGCCAAAAAACAAUAAAUAAAUAAACUUUCAGUUCAGCCAAAUAGAAAAAAAAAGAAAAGAACAUUCCUCACAGUUUUUAAAAUAAACUGCAGAAAGUAGUUCCACAGCUGAAGACUGUCUACAGAGAAAUCUGAGGAUUAUUCACAGUACUGGGGAUAAUAAUAGAAAGUAAUAAUAGAAAUCUCAAAUGUUGGACACAUGAAACCAAAAACUAUCUGCAUCAAUGGGAUCCACUACAGGUGUCAGUGGGCUACAAAGUCUUUAGUAAUCUGUGAAAUGUCUGCGGCAACAAUAAGGAUUAUUAUUAUUAUUCUAUCAUUAAAACUACUGCUGUUAUUGUCUGAAUGCUA